CUUUCAUGUUUUAUUGAUACCCAUGUUCUAUCUGGCUGUCAGGAACUUCAUAGUGGCAGCAAAUACUUCAGAAACUCUUCAGUUCUGCUCUUUGAGAUGGGAUGCAAUGGAUCACUAUCCCAUGCAACAAAUAUUUAAUCCACAGCAGUAUGUAAGUCAUCUAGUCUUUGCCACCAAUUCAUUAAACUCUAAAUUUGGAUAACAAAACCUAGCAGGACCCAGUGACAGCACUGGAGAUAAAGAGCAUACACAUUACAUGAUGUGUCAAAGAUCCUUCAGAAGUUAGUUCCAACAGCAAGUGCCAGAGAGGGUAAUAGUUCUGGAAAUUAAAUGCAGGGAGGAUCUUUCUGAGCCCAAGUGUGAGAACAAGUUUAGCCCUGCCAAAUACACUGCAACUCUUGAGAACAGGAGAAGUUUGUUGCUAUUCUUGAACAAUGUUCUUCCAGCUAUGGAAAAUCUCCAACAUUGCAGUGAAAGAUUUCAAACCUGAGACCAAGUAAUUUAUCAGAUUAAUGAAAUAUUCUUCCUAGAGCUUACAGAUAACCAGCAUAAGCUCUUCAUUUAGUUAUGCAAGGCAUAGUUAAAUUCUGGGUACUAGUUUACUGUCAGUAGUACCAACAAGGACUGACACUUUUAUAAAAACUGGCCUUGGUACAUUCACCCUUCCAAAACACUGUAAAUUUAGAUGACAUUUUUAUAAGUCCAAGAGUAAAAUUUAAUGGUCUGGUAGUUUGUAAUAAUAGUUUUGACUGAUAAAUAGUCAAUAUAAUAUCUCUAAUUAAAAAAGGGUGGUGGGAGGUGACUGGGGCAAUUAUUUCGUACUAUUUAAAACACCUGAUAGCUGCCUGAGGGCUUUUUAAAGGUCAGACUUACCAACCACGUGGAAAAAAGGCAGUGGGCUAGAAGACAGCUGAGUCUUUAUGAAGGAUGGAAGUCUAAGCAUGAUUUGCAAUUGCUCCCUCUAUGAUGGGAUGGAAAUGGUGGUAACCAACAGGAAAAGAAGAAAGCUACCUAUGAUCACAAGCAAGGCCAUGCAAUCAUCCAGAGACAAGAAAAAAGGAGGUGAAGCAUACAAGUGUUUUGGUGCUGUAAGGAUAAAAGUCACUCUUGCAAUUCUCCAAGGAGAGAAGAGGUCAUGUGUGGAACUGUGGUGAAAGCACCCUGGGAAUUUUCUAAAAGGCCCUGAAUUACUCUUUUUGACAAAGCAAUUAAAAUAUAAAAAACAGAGGAAGUCACCCACUACAUACAAAAAUUUAUAGAGAAUGGAAGGUACUUUUAUCCUGUCAGUAUGAUUGAGAACUGAGCAAAGUCCUCACAAAAAGGACUUGCAGCAGAAAGGACGGCAGAGUUCAGAUCAGCAUUUAAUGAGGCGAGACAACACAGAGCAGCACAAGUCCAGUGUUUGGACAUCAAGUUGUGAUUGCAGUGCUGGCAGCAUGACCACAACCCAGGACCAUCCAAAUUUGCUACUCUAACCCAUGUUACCAAUACUGCCUUUCUCUGUUCCACGUGAUCUUGUGCCAAGGUGCAAGGAAGGUCCAUGGACACUUAACUUCAUAUUGAGGUACUUUGUACUUCAUUAGCCUGGAGAUCUGCCUGCACUCUUCUGUCUAGUGAAAGAAAGGUAAACUGUUACAAAAUAUCAUAGUGAGAAAUUAUAAACCCAGGUGUAUUAUACAGA